rnacentral:rRNA from 1 species
GACGAACGCUGGCGGCGUGCUUAACACAUGCAAGUCGAGCGGUAAGGCCCUUUCGGGGGUACACGAGCGGCGAACGGGUGAGUAACACGUGGGUGACCUGCCCUCAGCUCUGGGAUAAGCCUGGGAAACUGGGUCUAAUACUGGAUAUGACUCCACGGUGCAUGUCGUGGGGUGAAAGCCUUGUGCGGCUGAGGAUGGGCCCGCGGCCUAUCAGCUUGUUGGUGGGGUGAGGCCUACCAAGGCGACGACGGGUAGCCGGCCUGAGAGGGCGACCGGCACACUGGGACUGAGACACGGCCCAGACUCCUACGGGAGGCAGCAGUGGGGAAUCUUGCGCAAUGGGCGAAAGCCUGACGCAGCGACGCCGCGUGAGGGAU